rnacentral:rRNA from 1 species
GACAGAGGUGCCAAGCGUUAGGCGGAAUCACUGGGCUUAAAGCGUGUGUAGGCGGAAUGGUAAGUACCUUGUGAAAUCCCACAGCUCAACUGUGGAACUGCUCGGUAUACUGCUUUUCUUGAGCCACUUAGGGGCUGUCGGAACAAACGGUGGAGCGGUGAAAUGCGUAGAGAUCGGGAGGAACACCCGUAGCGAAGGCGGCACUCUGGGCCGGUACUGACGCUGAGGAGCGAAAGCGUGGGGAGCAAACAGG